rnacentral:rRNA from 1 species
UGGAGGCAGCAGUGGGGAAUGAGUGUAAUGGACGAGAGUCUGACGCAGCAACGCCGCGUGGGUGAUGAAGGUCUUCGGACUGUAAAACCCUGUCGUCAGGGACGAAGGUGGCAGCGUUAAUAGCGUUGUUACUUGACGGUACCUGGAGAGGAAGCCCCGGCUAACUCUGUGCCAGCAGCCGCGGUAAUACAGAGGGGGCAAGCGUUAUUCGGAAUUAUUGGGCGUAAAGGGCGCGUAGGCGGUUUUUUAAGUCAGAUGUGUAAUCCCCGGGCUCAACCUGGGAACUGCAUCUGAGACUGGAAGGCUAGAGUACUGGAGAGGGUGGUGGAAUUCCUCGUGUAGCGGUGAAAUGCGUAGAGAUGAGGAGGAACACCAGUGGCGAAGGCGGCCACCUGGACAGUAGCUGACGCUGAGGCGCGAAAGUGUGGGUAGCAAACAGGAUUAGAUACCCCUGU